GCGGCGUGCCUAACACAUGCAAGUCGAGCGGGAUUUUCCGGAAUGAAACUUCGGUCGAAUGAAGGGAAUGAGAGCGGCGGACGGGUGAGUAACGCGUAGGCAACCUGCCCUUUGCAGAGGGAUAGCCACUGGAAACGGUGAUUAAAACCUCAUAAUGCCAAGUUUAGACAUCUUUACUUGGCCAAAGAUUUAUCGGCAAAGGAUGGGCCUGCGUCUGAUUAGCUAGUUGGUGAGGUAACGGCUCACCAAGGCGACGAUCAGUAGCCGACCUGAGAGGGUGAUCGGCCACAUUGGAACUGAGACACGGUCCAAACUCCUACGGGAGGCAGCAGUGGGGAAUAUUGCACAAUGGGCGAAAGCCUGAUGCAGCAACGCCGCGUGAGUGAAGAAGGUCUUCGGAUUGUAAAACUCUGUCCUUGGGGAAGAAGAACUGACGGUACCCUUGGAGGAAGCCCCGGCUAACUACGUGCCCACAGCCGCGGUAAUACGUAGGGGGCAAGCGUUAUCCGGAAUUAUUGGGCGUAAAAGAAGUGCGUAGGUGGUUACCUAAGCCGGGGGGGAAAGGCAGUGGCUCAACCCUUGUUAGCCCCCCUGACUGGGGCUACUUGAGUGCAGGAGAGGAAAGCGGAAUUCCUAGUGUAGCGGUGAAAAUGCGUAGAUAUUAGGAGGAACACCAGUGGCGAAGGCGGCUUUCUGGACUGUAACUGACACUGAGGCACGAAAGUGUGGGGAGCAAACAGGAUUAGAUACCCUGGUAGUCCACACCGUAAACGAUGAGCACUGGGUGUCGGGGUCGCAAGACUUCGGUGCCGCAGUUAACGCAUUAAGUGCUCCGCCUGGGGAGUACGUACGCAAGUAUGAAACUCAAAGGAAUUGACGGGGACCCGCACAAGCAGCGGAGCAUGUGGUUUAAUUCGAAGCAACGCGAAGAACCUUACCAGGACUUGACAUCCCGAUGACCGGUCCUUAACCGGGCCUUCUCUUCGGAGCAUCGGUGACAGGUGGUGCAUGGUUGUCGUCAGCUCGUGUCGUGAGAUGUUGGGUUAAGUCCCGCAACGAGCGCAACCCUUGCUGUUAGUUGCCAUCAUUAAGUUGGGCACUCUAACGGGACUGCCGGGGAUAACUCGGAGGAAGGUGGGGAUGACGUCAAAUCAUCAUGCCCCUUAUGUUCUGGGCUACACACGUGCUACAAUGGUCGGUACAAAGAGCAGCAAGACCGUGAGGUGGAGCAAAUAUCAAAAACCGAUCCCAGUUCGGAUUGUAGGCUGCAACUCGCCUACAUGAAGUUGGAGUUGCUAGUAAUCAAAGAUCAGAAUGCCACGGUGAAUGCGUUCCCGGGU
rnacentral:rRNA from 1 species